rnacentral:rRNA from 1 species
UGCCAGCAGCCGCGGUAAUACGAAGGGUGCUAGCGUUGUUCGGAAUUACUGGGCGUAAAGCGCGCGUAGGCGGCCAAGUCAGUCAGAUGUGAAAGCCCUGGGCUCAACCUGGGAACUGCAUCUGAUACUGCUUGGCUAGAGUAUGGUAGAGGGGUGUGGAAUUUCCUGUGUAGCGGUGAAAUGCGUAGAUAUAGGAAGGAACACCAGUGGCGAAGGCGGCCACCUGGGAGGGUACUGACGCUGAGACGCGAAAGCGUGGGGAGCAAACAGGAUUAGAUA